rnacentral:tRNA from 1 species
GGCUUCGUAAUUCAGUGGUAGAAUGCCUGCUUUACAUCAAUAGAUGCUCCAAACGGUUUCUUGGAUUCGCAGUAUGCCGUGGGUUCGAUCCCCACCGAGGUCA